UUAGCAGCUCUGGAGAUUGAAAUCUGUCUAUCCACAGAAUAGGUACAGCACACAUGGCAUCAGUGCAAACUUCCCCACCUAGCCCCACUGAUAUGCUUCAUCUCUGACCUGGAAAGAUGACCUAUAGGGACAAGAGGGCUCUUGAAGUUCAUCCUUCAUGAUGUAAAUGGUGAUAAGA
rnacentral:sRNA from 1 species